rnacentral:rRNA from 1 species
GACGAACGCUGGCGGCGUGCCUAAUACAUGCAAGUAGGACGCAGUUGCGAACGGGUGAGUAACGCGUAGGUAACUACCUAUUAGAGGGGGAGAACUAUUGGAAACGAUAGCUAAUACCGCCUACUAGUAGAUGGACCUGCGUUGUAUUAGCUAGUAGGUAGGGUAAUGGCCUACCUGGGCAACGGUACAUAGCCGACCGGAGAGGGUUAGCGGCCAAACUGGGAAUGAGACACGGCCCAGACUCCUUCGGGAAGCAGCAGGAGGGAAUCUGCGGGCAUGGGGGGAACCCUGACCGAGCAACGCCGCGUGAUUGAAGAAGGUUUUCGGAUCGUAAAGCUCUGUUGUUAAGGAAGCGGUACUUAACCAGAAAGGGACGGCUAACUACGUGCCAGCAGCCGCGGUAAUAC